AAUCCAAUGAUGCUUAUAAAUUUUCUGACAUCUCUAAUGAACCGUUGUGAUUCAAACUUUUUAAAUAUUUAAUUUACUGAUGCU